rnacentral:rRNA from 1 species
GAAUCUGGAUCUUCUCUUAUGGCACGGUGGUACCUUCUCACCCCCUAAAUUGGGAUUUGGAGGGAGCUCUCAGGGGAGAAUCAAGAGCAUGCGUGCGGCUCACGAGAGCAGGUCUAGACGGGAUCGAAAGAACAACGGGCGACGGAGGGGCGAAGGCGGGGGCGGCACCAUGACCAUCUGCGGUACAGCGCGGGUGGGCGGCGGCGGGUUGGGUUGCGGUGGCAGCGGCGGGUUGGGUUGGUUGGCUACUUGCGACGCUGGGGGCGGGGGUCCGGGUUGGGGCGGGGCUAGCGCAAACGACCGGGGAAGGUCCGGGGGCCGCAAGGCGCCGGCCGCGGCAUGGGCCGCGGGAAGAUGGUCUGCGCCGCCGGCGACCAUAAAGGCGGGCAGAACGGUGGGCCGCGAAAGCCACCCGGAGCGCAUAUGGUCGGAGGCGGUGGUGGCGGCCCACCUAAGGCAGGCGUGGGUCCGUGGGGGGAAUUGGGCAAGCAUAACCGACACGGGACUACGUGACGGAAUGCUCUUUCCGCUCGGAACAAACAAAGUCUUCUAGAUUACUAGAAUGUGCUGGAAACCACACAAAACCAAACGAAGGUGCUGGAACUACACAAACCAGAAGGUCCGAAGGCAGGUUCGGUGUGUAUAGUAGGACAAUCACACAAUAGUGUAGUCGCCGGUCGCCAUUGACUACCUCGAAAACCAGGACCUCGGCACUGAUCUGGUGGAUAGUGUGGACAAGGAGGUCGAUUACAAAAACCAGAACCUCGGCACUGUUCUGGUGCUGGUAAAUACUGUGGUCAAGGAGGUCGAUUACAAAAACCAGGACCUCGGCACUGAUCUGGUGGAUAGCGUAAACAAGGAGGGCGAUUACAAAAACCAGGACCUCGGUACCGAUCUGGUGGAUAGCGUGAACAAGGGGGUCGAUUACAAAAACCAGGACCUCGGCACCGAUCUGGUGGGUAGCGCGGACAAGGAAGUCGAUUGCAAAAACCAGGACCUCGACACUGAUCUGGUGGAUAGUGCGGACAAGGAGGUCGAUUGCAAAAACCAGUACCUCGACACUGAUCUGGUGGAUAACGCGGACGAGGAGGUCGAUUGCAGAAACCAGUACCUCGGCACUGAUCUGGUGGAUACUGUGGACAAGGAGGUCGAUGACUAAAACCAGGACCUCGACACUGAUCUGGAGUAUAGCGUGGACAAGGUGGUCAAUUACUCGGUGUCAAAUUUCAUAUACAACCGUUCUAACGUAGUUGUCACCUGUUACUAAAACAAGAAAGAGAAGAAGUCCAGACACCUUAACAUUUUUCAACCUUAGGUCAGUAUUUAGGUUAACUACCUUGAGGAUGACCCAAACCGAAAACACUAAAACUUAGACGGCUUCCGUCAGAAGCACGUACCGCCGACGAGUUGUUUGAUUCUUAACUACCAGUUCUCGACAACCAAUUACAGUUACUUCGGUGCUCUGUCGUGGAAGUCUUUAUGACACUCUUAUGAUGUCUUCUCUUCCGGUUACUUUAACUAUACCGACGAUACGUUUGCUAUGUGUCAUACCAACUUCUCUCUUACUCCACAUUUAAAGACCCAAGUGGUUAAGUCAGACAAGUCCGUAGAUGUUCGUAGUCACUACUCUUUCCACUACCAGUAUGUUCCUCACCACGUGACCUCCUUUCCUGUUCGUUCUCUGUUGCACUUUUUCUCCUUGUAAAUCCCCUUUCAUUUCAACAAACAAACGUUCCAACCUUUCUAUUUCUUCACUAAAGUCGACCUUUCGGAAGAGACGUUUAACUACGCUAUAGUAGUUACAUACAAGGGUACCUCGGACUUAGAUGUUAACUUGUGCUCUCCUUUGCAGUCGCGUCCCUUUAUCUACCCAAAGUAUUCUCGUUACCACUUCCCGUAACAUAGAGAUGGUCACGAUCAGAGUCUAUUCGACUUGUCGUCACGGGGUCCUCUUUUCCACUCAAAACUUAACGUUCGAUGUAGGUUCAGUCCCUUGUUCCUUUGAAAACUACGCCUUGUCAACGAACGACGAUAGGGAUUCUGCUUCCUUCUUGAUAAACGAAUACUACAAUUAACCCGUUAAAUACUAUUCGUACCUAACGUACUCUCUUACUCCGUAACCCAAAGUCUCUUCAGCUAACUUCAAAAGCCGCUCCUUUAUCGUCUCAAACACCUUAUACAACAACGUAGUUGGUUUCUCGUACAUCUGCGUGGAUCUUACAACCUCCGGGAACAUAGAGAGUACCUACUAAGACGUCUUUUCAAAUAAGAGAGCAACACCUGCCUUGAAUAUAAACUUUAAUUCUUUCGACUUUGGCCUAAUCUUACUUCUGUCUUCCUUACAGUGAUACAGUCACGGAAGAACAACGAGUUCAAGCCGCCCAUUAGUGUUUCUUUAACCGAGUCAAGGAAGAGCAACGAGUUCCAGCCACUCAUUAUAGUUUUCGCUAACCGCCUGCUGUUGGGAAGGACCGAUGGAUACUCGACGUCAACAACUAUAGAACCCUACUUCGUCAGAAGACCCGUGACACAAGAGGACCGAGAGGACUUAGAAAGCGACUACUUACAUCUAUCUGAAACGUACAACCGUAAUUGUCGCACGACAACCGCUCUAGUCAAACACAACAUUCACCUCUUCUUCACUUUACCCUGAGAAAAGUCGCACAGGGGGUACGCCCUCAGAGAAGCAUCUAUAUAUCCUCAUAAUUUAACUAUUUCGUUUAAAUAAACCUGAACGAC